AUGUUUGACUCUCCCAAGCACUACCGACCAAUGGUGGAAGAGCCCGAGUUACCAAGCAAUGAGUUAGAGGUGGUUUCUGAUCCUGAGACGCUGGAUCCUUCUGAGGAUGCUGAGGGAGGCUCCACGUCCCCCGCCAUCAUGGCCUCCAGCCCCAUGAGCCCAUCCCACGUAGACUCCAGCAGCGACGAAGAGGAGAGUCUGCUCCCUGCACUGGCCCUGCCCGACAUUGAGGCCUUGGUGGGUCCUGCCUUGGAUAACAAGAACAAGAUCUUUGUCACUGGAACAAAAGCGUUCUUUGGAAAUGUGAAACACGUCAUGUGUAAACUUUGUGGGGACAAUAAAUAAGGAGGGAAAGUUCAUUCUUACCUCACCCUCUUUUAGUUUGCUCUCUGUAAAAUGUUUUAAAAUAUGCCUGUAUGUGCUUGGCUUACCCAAAAAUGUGGGCGAAAUUUAGUCUCAAUAUUAAGAAUCCCUUUCCCCUGGUACAUGGAAUCCCGAGGGUUCCUGAGCAAGAGCAAGUGCUCUUUGGAAGGCCCAGAGUCAGCGGUUUCCCUGGGGGAGUGAAGGAGGCUGAGCAGGACCCGCCCCUACCUGUAGGAUGCUGGGCUCUGGGGCAGCAGCCAUGCCAGGGAGAGGAGCGAUGUCCUCCGGAGCCUGGAGCACAAGUGACACAGUGGUGAGCAGCAGAGAGCAGCACAGAGAAUGUGGAGCCAGAGUAGUUCAGGCUGGGGAAGCUGCAGGUCCUGCAGGAAGGGCUUCCAGUGAAAAUGCGUGACAGCCAGGGCCAGAAGCUCGGAUGUGGAAUGUGGGGACUGGAAAGGGCACACUUCUCAGCAGUGUUUUGUGGUUCACAGAGCAGAAAGGAAGCACUAUCUGGGGGAGAUACGAGACGUGUCCUGGGCUCUAUCCCGGUGCAGCCAGACACAAACAAGCACUCGGUCACAUGUGCCCCGCAACCGAGAGGAGUUCCAGGGAAAUGGGGAACACUCGUGGUAUUUCUGUGAAGUCGCGCCCAGAAAGCUCCAGAGUGACACGUUUUCCCGGCCUGGCAGAGACAGGAGAGUCCCCUGGAACAGUAAAGUGAGGUGACCCUCAGGCCUUUCAGACAGCUCUAAACUCGGGCCGGGUUCUGGGCAGGGAUGAGCUGAAUGAGAACAGUGCUUUGAUGGGGAAAG
rnacentral:lncRNA from 1 species